CUCAAGGACAGUUAUGAACACUAAAUAUCUCAGGGUCCUAACAUUAGUUAUAUUCUUUAUUUGCUGUUGGAGUCUGACUGGUGUGUUUGGUGAUUCGGUGUCAGUGACGGAGGGAGAUUCUGUUACUCUAAACACCGAUCUCGCUGAAAUACAUGAAGAUGAAGAUAUACUGUGGAAAUGUGGAGCUAAAUAUUUUACUAUAGCUGAAAUCAGCAGAGAUUCUGGAAUUUUCUUCACUCAUGAUGGUCCUGAUGGGAGAUUCAGACACAGACUGAAGCUGGAUCAUCAAACUGGAUCUCUGACCAUCAUGAACACCACGACUGAACAUGCUGGAGUUUAUGAACUAGAGAUAACUGGAGUGAAAGUGACUUCAAAAACAUUCAAUGUUUCUGUCUAUGCUCGUCUGCCGGUUCCUGUCAUCAUCAGUAACUCUUCACACUGUUCUUCAUCAUCAUGUUCAGUGGUGUGUUCAGUGUUGAAUGUGAGUGAUGUGACUCUCUCCUGGUACGCAGGAAUGAGUGUAUUGUCCAGAAUCAAUGCAUCUGAUCUCAGCAUCAGUCUCUCUCUACCUCUGGAGGUGGAAUAUCAGGAUAAAAACACCUACAGCUGUGUGCUGAACAAUCCAAUCAGCAACCAGACCACACAUCUGGACAUCAACACACUCUGCAGACACACAUGUGCAGGUGCUCCAGUGUCUCUGAUAGUGUUGAUCUCGGCUGGAUCUCUGAUGAUUGUUGCUGUAGUCGUGAUCUUCUGCAUCUGCAGGAAAUGAGUAGACAAACAGGAAGAUGAGUCCAAUUACAAAUAUUAAUAAGACACAAAUAUUAAAAACUUUGUCUUUUUAACAUCUGUGUUUGUUGUUAAUGCAAUCCAGACCCAGGAGGAAGACAGAACUGAUCCAGCAUUGUGUAAACCAACAACACAGAAGUGUGAAAUGUUGCUGUUUGAGCAUAAACAACAUCUGCAAAGUUACAACGCCCAAAGUUCAAAGCAAAGGGAGAUUUUAAGAACUACAACAAAACACCCCUGUGAACACAGUCCAUGGUGAGGAGAAGAAAUAAAAGAGUACAUUUAUGAAUCAGCUCAAACUUUAGCAUCCAUCUUUUUGCAUGCAAUAGAAAGCAUCACCACAUUGAAACAUCACACACAAACUCUUGUUUGCCUUUUCCUCACCCUUGGCUGAAAUUCAUCACAACCUCAACUAGAGCCAGACCGAUAUAUCGGCCGAUAUUAGGCAUUUUCCAAAAUAUCGGUAUCGGCAGUUAUAAAUGGC